AAAUUUCAUUACAUACAAUUAUUCUAAGAUCAAAAAAAAAAAAUAUAAGGUUAGAAUCUCACAUCUUUUCCCUUAAGAAAUUUUCUAAAAAUAUUUAAAUUUCUAUAAGUGGAAAACCCAAGUUUCUUCAAAACAAUUGGUUCCAACAUUUCAUCCAAUCAUUCUCUCCGUACAUAUACCUCCGAAUGAUAAAUUCAAAUGUAAUUUGAACAUCUCGACAUUGACGGACAUUUCUAUUUCGUUCGAUGGAAUCGUAGAGGCGAAUUACUCGAGGAGAUCUGAUUUCUUUUUCACCUUCGUCUUUACCACGAAAGCAAAGCUAUCCGCCAGGAUCCGUAUACAAGUAGCGAAGGAGGGGGGGGUUUCUGUCGUCACGUGAUAGAGAUUGAUGGUAUCCUAAACUUCGAAUAGAUAAGAUAAUCUUCAAUGUUAACUAUAUAUAUAUACACGUGUGUUACAGAAGAAGAUGAAUUAUUAUCGAUGUAUUAUAAAUUGUUUCAGUUGUCUUCAUCGAUAUAUCAUAUAAAUUCGAUAUAUAAAGUUAUUAUUGGAGCGAAGAAGAAGAUUCGUAUAAUGAUAGAUUGCAGCGAUACUUCUUAUAAUUAAUUUUCAAAUAAUAUCGAUUCGAUGGAUCGAAUGGCAAGGAAUUAUGGCAUGGUAAACAUCUAAUUCUUUGAGUGUCAAAAGAAGAUUAAUCUUGGAUAAAUUUCACAUUUUAAAGAAGAAAUGUAAAGAAGAAAUUGAUUAUGGUUAAACGUCUAUUGAUUCAUCCAUCAGAUUUAUUUUUCUAAUGAAAAAAUAAUAAGACGACUUGCAUUGUUGAAAUCAAAAGGCUUUUGACAAUAAAUAAAACAUCAACAACAGUAUAUAAUAGAAAAGAACGAAGUUGAAAAGUUAAGUAAUAAAGAUCCGAAAUAGAAUCUAGCUUGGCAAAAAUUUCUUAAAGGAGAAGUAAAAGUCGAGGAAAAAAAUAAAAGUUUUUACAAAAAGAGUUCUACAGUGAAAUGGAGUCACAAUUGUGAGAAAGCAUUUUCUACGUAAUGAGAGGACUUGUUCCCUGAAGUUUCAAAAAAUAUUUUUGAAGAAUCAAACUUUGAGAUAAAUUAUACCAUAAAUAUAUUAAAUAUAUUAAAACAUAUAUAUACAUUUAUACAUUUCAAACAUUAAAUUGGUUAAAUUUUUAAUUGGCGGAUUGGAAAAAUCAAAAAGUAAGAAACACAACUUUAUGGAUGAAUCAGCCAGUUUCAAUGUUACAUAAACAAUUAGUUUUAUAAAGAAAAAAAAAUCCUAUAAAUCUUAUUUAAUACUUUUUAAAUUGAUAUAUUUAUCUAAAACAUGGC